rnacentral:rRNA from 1 species
GAUGAACGCUAGCGGCAGGCUUAAUACAUGCAAGUCGAGGGGCAGCAGGACUGUAGCAAUACAGUUGCUGGCGACCGGCAAACGGGUGCGGAACACGUACGCAAUCUACCCAGAACUGAUGAAUAGCCCUCCGAAAGGAGGAUUAAUACAUCGUAACAUAAUGAAGUGGCAUCACUUUAUUAUUAUAGCUCCGGUCGGUUUGGAUGAGCGUGCGCCNGAUUAGGUAGUUGGC